AGCACUGAUAGGACUUGUUUUGUUUGCGUGUUAACUGAGACUUAUCUAAGUGACCGGAACCUUUUGGUGGUAAAAACCAUCUGUCCUGUGGUGCGUUUAACUGUAACUGGCCUGCCUCCUGCCAAAACAACUCCUUUAAAAGAGAUUUGCCACCGCUCCUUAAGACUCUGCCAUCGCCUGGUCACUAAAUUAAUCCGAGAGGCUGGGGGAGCGGCUGGUGCCAAGCUUCUGUCACGACUGCUCAAUGAGGGCUAAAAUAAUUAUUUGGAUGUGGCUGGGUUUAAGUCAAGAGGUUUUAAAUAAAUGUAACAUCUGCAGCCAUAGAAACUCUCUCUCCAAGGAUGGGGAAGAUCCAGGCAACCCUCUAGCCAUUCCAGGGAGAUGAUAUUGGGUUAACCCUUAUGGUACCAGAACCAGUUCAAGAACUGAUGGUGAUUCCUUUACAUGGGCUCUCAACCUGCAAGGUGGAGUAUUACCAAGGAAUGGAACUGUGUAUAAUGCAGCUGAAAGUGGGUAAUGGGCAUGCUGAUCUCUGAUCAGUUCUUUUUCAAUGAUUUAUUUACACCUUUCAGACCC